rnacentral:rRNA from 1 species
GUGAGUAACACGUGAGUCACCUGCCCCUGACUCUGGAAUAACCGUGGGAAACGACGGCUAAUACCGGAUAUGAGACGUCCACGCAUGUGAGCGUCUGGAAAGAUUUAUCGGUCUGGGAUGGACUCGCGGCCUAUCAGCUUGUUGGUGGGGUAAUGGCCCACCAAGGCGACGACGGGUAGCCGGCCUGAGAGGGCGACCGGCCACACUGGGACUGAGAUACGGCCCAGACUCCUACGGGAGGCAGCAGUGGGGAAUAUUGCACAAUGGGCGCAAGCUGAUGCAGCGACGCCGCGUGGGGGAUGAAGGCCUUCGGGUUGUAAACCCUUUCAGCAGGGAAGAAGCGAAAGUGACGGUACCUGCAGAAGAAGCGCCGGCUAACUACGUGCCAGCAGCCGCGGUAAUACGUAGGGCGCAACGUUGUCCGGAAUUAUUGGGCGUAAAGAGCUCGUAGGCGGUUUGUCGCGUCUGCUGUGAAAACCCGAGGCUCAACCUCGGGCUUGCAGUGGGUACGGGCAGACUAGAGUGCGGUAGGGGUGACUGGAAUUCCUGGUGUAGCGGUGGAAUGCGCAGAUAUCAGGAGGAACACCGAUGGCGAAGGCAGGUCACUGGGCCGCAACUGACGCUGAGGAGCGAAAGCAUGGGGAGCGAACAGGAUUAGAUACCCUGGUAGUCCAUGCCGUAAACGUUGGGCACUAGGUGUGGGGCUCAUUCCACGAGUUCCGUGCCGCAGCAAACGCAUUAAGUGCCCCGCCUGGGGAGUACGGCCGCAAGGCUAAAACUCAAAGGAAUUGACGGGGGCCCGCACAAGCGGCGGAGCAUGCGGAUUAAUUCGAUGCAACGCGAAGAACCUUACCAAGGCUUGACAUACACCGGAAAAGUGCAGAGAUGUGCUCCCCGCAAGGUCGGUGUACAGGUGGUGCAUGGUUGUCGUCAGCUCGUGUCGUGAGAUGUUGGGUUAAGUCCCGCAACGAGCGCAACCCUCGUCCUAUGUUGCCAGCACGUUAUGGUGGGGACUCAUAGGAGACUGCCGGGGUCAACUCGGAGGAAGGUGGGGAUGACGUCAAAUCAUCAUGCCCCUUAUGUCUUGGGCUUCACGCAUGCUACAAUGGCCGGUACAAAGGGCUGCGAUACCGCAAGGUGGAGCGAAUCCCAAAAAGCCGGUCUCAGUUCGGAUUGGGGUCUGCAACUCGACCCCAUGAAGUCGGAGUCGCUAGUAAUCGCAGAUCAGCAACGCUGCGGUGAAUACGUUCCCGGGCCUUGUACACACCGC